rnacentral:tRNA from 1 species
GCUGGUGUAGCUCUAAUGGUAGAGCAACCGUUUUGUAAGCGGUGGGUUCUGGGUUCGAGUCCCUGCACCAGCUCCA